AAGACUAUAGACCUGCGGAGUACCUGCGGAGGGAUCAUUACAUGAUUUGAGGGGGCUCGCGUCCCCUCAUCCAACCCACAAACCCCGAGGAAACUUUAUGUCGAGUGGUUCGGCACUCUCUUUGAGAGCCGCCCCUCAAACGCAUCGCAGGCUUUUCGUGAGGGUCUGAUGUGUCACAUCGUGAGUAUCAAAACUUUUAGCAACGGAUCUCU
rnacentral:misc_RNA from 1 species